GCUCGUAGUUGGAUUUCGGGCGUGGAGGUUCGGUCCGCCGUUUCGGUGUGCACUGUCUUUCUGCGUCUUUCUGUCGGGGACGCGCUUCUGGCCUUAAUUGGCUGGGACGUGGAUUCGACGAGGUUACUUUGAAAAAAUUAGAGUGUUCAAAGCAAGCUAAAGCUCUGAAUACAUUAGCAUGGAAUAACGCGAGAGGACUCGGUCCUUAUUUUGUUGGUCUUCAAGGAUGGAGUAAUGAUUAAGAGGGACAGUUGGGGGCAUUCGUAUUUCAUUGCUAGAGGUGAAAUUCUUGGAUUUAUGAAAGACGAACUUCUGCGAAAGCAUUUGCCAAGGAUGUUUUCAUUGAUCAAGAACGAAAGUUGGGGGCUCGAAGAUGAUCAGAUACCAUCCUAGUCUCAACCAUAAACGAUGCCGACUAGGGAUUGGCAGGUGUUACAUCGAUGACUCUGCCAGCACCUUAUGAGAAAUCAAAGUUUUUGGGUUCCGGGGGGAGUAUGGUCGCAAGGCUGAAACUUAAAGGAAUUGACGGAAGGGCACCACCAGGAGUGGAGCCUGCGGCUUAAUUUGACUCAACACGGGGAAACUUACCAGGUCCAGACAUAGUAAGGAUUGACAGAUUGAGAGCUCUUU
rnacentral:rRNA from 1 species